AGUGAACGCUGGCGGUAGGCCUAACACAUGCAAGUCGAACGGCAGCACAGUAAGAGCUUGCUCUUACGGGUGGCGAGUGGCGGACGGGUGAGGAAUACAUCGGAAUCUACUUUUUCGUGGGGGAUAACGUAGGGAAACUUACGCUAAUACCGCAUACGACCUACGGGUGAAAGCAGGGGAUCUUCGGACCUUGCGCGAUUGAAUGAGCCGAUGUCGGAUUAGCUAGUUGGCGGGGUAAAGGCCCACCAAGGCGACGAUCCGUAGCUGGUCUGAGGGGAUGAUCAGCCACACUGGAAAUUAGACACGGUCCAGACUCCUACGGGAGGCAGCAGUGGGGAAUAUUGGACAAUGGGCGCAAGCCUGAUCCAGCCAUACCGCGUGGGUGAAGAAGGCCUUCGGGUUGUAAAGCCCUUUUGUUGGGAAAGAAAAGCAGCAGGUUAAUACCCCGCUGUUCUGACGGUACCCAAAGAAUAAGCACCGGCUAACUUCGUG
rnacentral:rRNA from 1 species